GACGAACGCUGGCGGCGUGCUUAACACAUGCAAGUCGAACGGAGUGGCGAACGGGUGAGUAACACGUGGGUGAUAUGCCUUGCACUUCGGGAUAAGCUUGGGAAACUGGGUAUAAUACCGGAUAGUGCAAGAUGAGCUCGCGGCCUAUCAGCGUGUUGGUGGGGUAAUGGCCUACCAAGGCGUCGACGGGUUGCCGGCCUGAGAGGGUGUACGGGCACAUUGGGCCUGGGAUGCGGCCCAGAGGCAUACGGGAGGCAGCAGUGAGGAAUAUUGCAGAAUGGGCGGAAGCCUGAUGCAGCGACGCCGGGUGGGGGAUGAAGGCCUUCGGGUUGUAAACUCCUUUCGACAGGGACGCGGUACCUGAAUAGAAAGCACCGGCUAACUACGUGCCAGCAGCCGCGGUAAUUC
rnacentral:rRNA from 1 species